UUAACUCGAAUUUGUAUGGAGUUGGAACGUUUGCGUACGUUUGCCGCUAGAGGCGCUGUUCCAACUGCAUACUAAAUUGGGUUA
rnacentral:pre_miRNA from 1 species